rnacentral:rRNA from 1 species
UACGUAGGGUGCGAGCGUUAAUCGGAAUUACUGGGCGUAAAGCGUGCGCAGGCGGUUUUGUAAGACAGGUGUGAAAUCCCCGGGCUUAACCUGGGAACUGCAUUUGGAACUGGAAGACUAGAGUACGGCAGAGGGGGGUAGAAUUCCACAUGUAGCGGUGAAAUGCGUAGAGAUGUGGAGGAACACCAGUGGCGAAGGCGGCUUCCUGGACUAAAACUGACACUGAGGUGCGAAAGCGUGGGGAGCAAACAGG